AGCGAACGCUGGCGGUAGGCCUAACACAUGCAAGUCGAACGGCAGCACAGUAAGAGCUUGCUCUUACGUGUGUCGCGUGGCGGACGGUUGAGUUAUACAUCGGAAUCUACUUUUUCGUGGGGGCUAACGUAGGGAAACGUACUCUAAUACCGCAUACGACCUACGUGUGAAAGCCGGGGAUCUUCUGACCUUGCGCGAUGGAAUGAGCCGAUGUCGGAGUAGCUAGUUGGCGGGUUAAAGGCACAACAAGGCGACGAUCCGUAUCUGGUCUGAGAGGAUGGUCAGACAGACUGGCACUGAGAAAGGGUCCAGACUCCUGCGGGAGGACGCAGUGGGGAAUAUUGGACAAUGGGGGAAAGCGUGAUACAGCCCUACCGCGUGAGUGAAGAAGGCGUUAGGGUUGUAAAGCCCUUUUGUUGGGAGAGAAAAGCAGCAGUUUAAUACCCCGCUGUUAUGACGGUACCCAAAGAAUAAGCACCGGCUAACUUCGUG
rnacentral:rRNA from 1 species